rnacentral:lncRNA from 1 species
GUGGGUAAUUGUCACUAUAGAAAGUAAAAUUAAGAUAAAAACUAAGACUAUUUUACGACAUGAUUCUUAAUUUUGUAGCUAAUUUGCAAAUUUAUAAUUUAUGUUAACCCAACUUUAUUCUAAGUGGAAAGGUUUAGUUAUGGUGACCAAUGGUUGGCGGUGUGUUGCAUCUGUGUGUCUUAAAUCUAUGUGCACCAGUAAAAGCCCAACCCUCGUGGGCGAAAGAAAGAUAAACUCGCUAUCAAGGUUGGCAUCUGGGGGUUG